UACGAAGGGGGCUAGCGUUGCUCGGAUUGACUGGGCGUAAAGGGCGCGUAGGCGGUUUGCACAGUCAGACGUGAAAUUCCUGGGCUUAACCUGGGGGCUGCGUUUGAUACGUGCAGGCUUGAGUUCGGAAGAGGGUCGUGGAAUUCCCAGUGUAGAGGUGAAAUUCGUAGAUAUCGGGAGGAACACCUAUGGCGAAGGCAGCUCGCUGGGACGUUACUGACGCUGAGACGCGAAAGCGUGGGGAGCAAACAGG
rnacentral:rRNA from 1 species